rnacentral:ncRNA from 1 species
GUUUAGUUACGUAGCCAAUUGUGGAACUUUCUUGCUAAAAUUUUUAAGAAUACUAAUUGGGUUCAACCAGUUAGUUCUUAUUAAUUAUAACGAUUAUCAAUUAACAAUCAAUUCAGAACUGGCACGGACUUGGGGAAUCCGACUGUCUAAUUAAAACAAAGCAUUGUGAUGGCCCUAGCGGGUGUUGACACAAUGUGAUUUCUGCCCAGUGCUCUGAAUGUCAAAGUGAAGAAAUUCAAGUAAGCGCGGGUCAACGGCGGGAGUAACUAUGACUCUCUUAAGGACGAGUUUGAUCAACUUCGUCUUCGUACCGACCGUAAGGCACAAUGGAGUGAGGAAGAGUUGAGUAUGAUGGCAAGAAAAGAGAUCGAGCUCGCAGCAAAUGGAGAAAGAUAUCUA